rfam:Oryza sativa Japonica Group DNA, chromosome 12, cultivar: Nipponbare, complete sequence.
UUGAGCCGGAUGAUGAAAAAUUCUCAUGUCCGGUUCCUUUGGGGGCUGGAUCUUAAAGAAUUCACCUAUCCCAAU